UUAUGCGAUAUACUGGUGUGAAUUGCAGAAUCCCGUGAACCAUCGAGUCUUUGAACGCAAGUUGCGCCCGAUGCCAUUAGGUUGAGGGCACGUCUGCCUGGGUGUCACAUAUCGAAGCCUCCUUGCCAAUUUCCCUGAUUAUUGUGCAGGGUGGAUGUUGGCCUCCCGUGAGCUCUUUCGUCUCAUGGUUGGUUGAAAAUUGAGACCUUGGUAGGGUGUGCCAUGAUAGAUGGUGGUUGUGUGACCCACGAGACCAAUCAUGCGCUGCUCUAUUGAAUUUGGCCUCCUUUACCCAUAUGCGUUUCCAAACGCUCGUGAUGAGACCUCAGGUCAGGCGGGGCUACCCGCUGAAUUUAAGCAUAUCAAUAAGCGGAGGAAAAGAAACUAACAAGGAUUCCCUUAGUAACGGCGAGCGAACCGGGAUAAGCCCACCAUGAGAAUCGGUCGCCCUCGGCGUUCGAAUUGUAGUCUGGGGAAAGCGUCAA
rnacentral:rRNA from 1 species